AGCCAGUGGGAAUAGGAGGGGCAAGUGUAGUAUGUGUAAACAGCCUGGACAUUAUAAAAGCACUUGUCCUGAAAAUCAGCAAAGAAGAACCGAGAGGCGUCGUCGAUAGGUUUUUCUAUAUGAAUAUGACACUUAACUUCUUUAAUCUUUUAUACUUGCGCACUAAUGUUACAUCAUGUUGUUUUUAACUCAGUUUUUUUUUUAAGCCAAUUUCAAAUGGACGAUCAUGACGAGUCGGGACCUAUUGAUACAUCCGUGCUGACUGAGCAGCCACGACAUAGAUCUACAUUGAUUAGAGAGGAGGGAUAUUCUCCUGUUCAAUUUACGGAGCAUGGCCGUAAAUUGAACAGAUGGCAGUGCGAGCAUCCUGCGGUGUUGGACUUAUUGCGACGAGCAGAAUUUUAUUACGUUUCACGACUGUGUCCCUACAGCUCGAUCAGUCGUUAUUGGGAGCAUUAGUCGAGAGGCGGCGGCGAGAGACAGAGGUUUUCAUUUGCAACAUGGAGAGAUGAGUAUUACAUUGAUAGACGUCGCAGUUAUUACGGGACUCCCCGUCGAUUGUGGGGAUGUGACUGGAGGGGGAUCCUAUCAGUGGGCAGAGCUCUGCGGGUUACUUCUCGGGGUGGUUCCGCAGGAUAUUAGGGGUGGUGAGAUCAAGAUAGACUGGUUAUAUCAUCAGUUCCAUGAUAUCCCCUUAGACGCACCUCCCGCUAUUGUUAGAGCUACGGCGAGAGCAUAUAUACUAUUUCAGAUAGGUUGUAGUUUGUUUCCAAAUCCAAGCGGGAAUAGGGUGCAUUUGAAAUGGUUGCCACAUCUAGAGAAUUUUGACCUUUGUGGUGGGUUGGCAUGGGGUGCAGCCGCGCUAGCUCAUCUUUAUCGCGCCCUAGGAAAUGCUUGCCUCAGGGGAAAGGUCGAGUGUUGUUGUUUUGGGACAUUAGUUCAGAUAUGGGCAUGGGACCACCUGCACAUUGGCCGCCCUGAGGUAGUAGGACCACAGCCUGCUCUUGUCGA